GUUAAAGACCGCGUAGCCCCUCAGCUCCUAACGUAAAUCCAGUUUUGCCAUAAAACGAAGACCAUAGCAUAAAAGGGCAAAAAGCAGAGAAGCCUGGGCUGACAGAGACAUGCCUGAAAAAGGAUCUGCUAGGGCUGCCUCAACUCUUUACUGAGACAGAACUAGAAAAUUGCCCUUACAGAAGGCUUUUUAGCAAAGCUGAUGAUUCAGUGGCUCAAGGAAGGAUGGCCACCACACAGAGAGACUUUCCUAACUUCACAGACAUCUUGCAAACCUCUGACAAUGCCAACAAAAAGAAUAAUUGAAAAAAUUGCCAGAAGGAUGCGUUAAACAUUCUUGAUUGAGGAAUAGAUUAAGCUUUUUUUUUUUUUUAAUCUAAAUCUGAGCGUAUUUGUGUUCUGAGGACUUCAAGGCUACAAACACUGCCCCCAAAGUCAGACAAAACAGGUCAGAUUCUUCUCUCAGUUAUACUGUCAUACAGGACAUCUGUAUUGAAUUCAGUACAUUUACAGACAGAUGUAAACUGAGACAGAAUCUCCACCAUAGAAUAUUAAAAACCUAGAUUAAAUGUUCUUAGCAUAUUUUGAGUGCCUACGCAUAUUAGCAAAUAUAUUUAUUUAAUGUUUUCUUUUAAUAUCCAUUUCAAGUGUACCAUUUGGUACUUGGUUUAAUAAACUAAGUUUCAGUAAUUGAAAAGUACUCAUACCUCCCUAACAGGAAUAAUGCCUCUAGAAAAUCCUCAAAAAUAAUGUCUUCUUUUCUUGAGCCCUGUGGUGGUUUGGCCAGCAAUGAACUGUUUUUCUGGGAAGAAAAAAGAAUAGAGAGGAAGUAUAGCCUGAAUUUGUGCUGUAUAUUUGCUACUGUUUAAAUCUUUCACACAAAAGGUGAUUCAGAUUAGUAGCAGGCCUAAAAGGCAUCACAGUGGAGUACUGAGAGUCCGACCACACUAUACUCUCAGCACAAGAUGUUUUCUGUGCGUCAAAGUUAAAGGUGAUUUUUUAAGAAGUUUUCCUCCUGCUUCACCCCAUAUUCAGAUUAUUUGAAACACCCUAAGUAAAUAUUAGGGUGUAUUACCCUGUGUCUUCAGGAAAAUCUAAUGAGAGGAACCAUCAGAUAGUAAAUAAAAACAUUAUUUUUAUUUAUGUGCUGACGUGGAGUGCAGUUCAGUCCUGUUCUAGGGAUUUUACGUACACUUGGGGAAAAAGUCUUGUUUUCCUUUCUCAAUAGUUCAGGCUAACCGAAGUGAGAAAUCCCCAUUUCACAGAGAGGAAACAAAGGAGUUGCUGAAGAUACUUUUCACUGAAGCAGCGAUUAAGCCCAGACCAGUCCAUAUAUGAGGUAAAAGACCUCAACAACAGUCAUCUUCCAAAUAGAAAAAAUCAGUGUGCUGCCACAGAACACUUCCUGCAUAGUGACAUUGAGUGUGAACAGAUAUCUCCUUUGAAGAUAAAUAUGUGAACUUGCUGCUUAUUUUCUUAAUGAUGGCAAUAGGGACUUCCUCUGUAGAAAUUGCAGGAUGUGUCAGGUAGAAGAUAUAUAUGAUUUAGUCUACUGCACCUUUGCCUAUGUAUUUGCUUUCUGCAUACCAAUUUAUCUCUCUCAGAGAGUAUUCCAGAUUUGCAAGAGAUUAACAUAGUUCUCCUGUACUGCUUUUAUUUAAUGUGCAAUAUAGACAAGUGUUGCCUCUUCUGGGCCCAAAUAUGGAAUUCCCCCAGAACUACCCCAGCCAAAACCAGCACACCCAGGAUGAACAAAAUUCAAAUGAAAGUCAAUAAACAUAAUGAUUUCAUCACUCUAAUUUCCUGAGUCCUAGGAAUGGCCUACAUUUUCUGAAAGGUCACUUAGAUUUGAGGUUUCAGGGUCGAGUUCUCUUCAGUGCUUGCUACCUAGUGGAAUUUCCAACCUAGUUUUAGGUUCCCAGGUGAGUGAAGAGAAUCCAACACCUGAAAAGCUAGUGGUCUGGAAACGGUUUUGGUUUUAACCAUCAUUUGAAUACUGUGCUUGCCUCACUCUCAGAGUGGGGAAAACAAUUCAUCAAAACUUUUAAUUAUCUCUUCCAUAUGUAGGUGAAUAAGAAACGUAAAAGUAUGCGCAGUGACAAAAGUUACAUUGUAUGCCUGGAAUUCUACUCUAAUGUGUACUUUUAUUUGCUCACAAUUCUAAACAAAUCAGUGGAAAAGAUUAUUUUCUAUAUUAUAAGUAAACAUACA